CCUACGGGAGGCUGCAGUAGGGAAUCUUCCACAAUGGACGAAAGUCUGAUGGAGCAACGCCGCGUGUGUGAUGAAGGGUUUCGGCUCGUAAAACACUGUUGUAAGAGAAGAAUGACAUGGAGAGUAACUGUUCAGUGUGUGACGGUAUCUUACCAGAAAGGAACGGCUAAAUACGUGCCAGCAGCCGCGGUAAUACGUAUGUUCCAAGCGUUAUCCGGACUUAUUGGGCGUAAAGCGAGCGCGGACGGUUAGGAAAGGACGAAGGGAGAGGACACAGGUUAAGUGGGGAAGUGAUGUGGAAAAUGGAUAACCUAAGUGCAGUAGAGGAGAGUGGAACAGCAUGUGUAGCGGUGAAAUGCGUAGAUAUAUGGAAGAACACCAGUGGCGAAGGCGGCUCUCGGGACUGUAACUGACGUUGAGGCUCGAAAGUGUGGGUAGCAAACAGGAUUAGAUACCCCAGUAGUC
rnacentral:rRNA from 1 species